rnacentral:rRNA from 1 species
GCCCGGAGAUGGACUCUGAAACACGAGUCCAGGCCCUACGGGGCGCAGCAGGCGCGAAAACUUCGCAAUGCAGGAAACUGUGACGAGGGAACUCCAAGUGUCCAUGCAUUGCAUGGACUGUUUGCCAGCCUAAAAAGCUGGUAGAGUAAGGGGUGGGAAAGACCGGUGCCAGCCGCCGCGGUAACACCGGCACCUCAAGUGGUAGCCACUAUUAUUGGGCCUAAAGCGUUCGUAGCCGGCUUGGUUAAUUCCUGGGUAAAUCGUACCGCUCAACGGUGCGGAUUCCGGGGACACUGCCAGGCUUGAGACCGGGGGAGAUCAGAGGUACUUGCGGGGGAGCGGUGAAAUGUUGUAAUCCCGCAGGGACCACCAAUGGCGAAGGCAUCUGAUCAAAACGGCUCUGACGGUGAGGGGACGAAACCCUGGGGCGCAAACGGGAUUAGAUACCCCGGUAGUCCAGGGCGUAAACGCUGCUGACUUGGUUGUUGGGGGGCCCUGCGAGGGCGUCCAGUGCCGGGCACGAAGGUAUUGAGUCAGCCCGCCCUGGGGGAGUACGGUCGCAAGACUGAAACUUAUAGGAAUUGGUCGGGGGGGAGCACCUGCAACGGGUGGAAGCCGUUGCCGGUUUUAAUUUGGGAUUCCAACGCC